UGAGUGGAUUUAGCCUCCAGGUUCCAUCGUUGGCUUGGGUUUCCUCCCGCUCCAGGCAGAACAGAAACGUGGGAAGCGGCAGACUGGCCGGGAGAUGAAGCUUAGGAUCCUGUCUGAGAGGAAAAAGCCCCUGAACAUCGAUUACAUGGGGGAGGACCAGCUCCGGGAGAAGGCCCAGGAGCUGUCAGAAUGGAUCCACCAGCUGGAGUCCGAGAAAUUUGACCUGAUGGAGAAGUUGAAACAACAGAAAUACGAGAUCAACGUGCUGUACAACCGCAUCAGCCACGCCCAGAAAUUGUGAGCGCCGCCCCCAGCCUCCGCCUAAGGCCUGCCCUGCUCCCUCCCUCCCCCUCCCUUCCUCCUUCCCUCCUCCUCCUUUCCUCCCCCUCUCCCUCCCUCCCUCCUUCCCUCUCC